rnacentral:tRNA from 1 species
AAAAAAAUAAGCUAAAUAAGCUUCUAGGUUCAUACCCUAGCCAUAAAGGUUUUAAUCCUUUUUUUUUUA